rnacentral:rRNA from 1 species
AUUGAACGCUAGCGGGAUGCUUUACACAUGCAAGUUGAACGAGUGGAGGACGGGUGAGUAAUAUAUCGGAACUUGCCCAGUCGCGGGGGAUAACUACUCGAAAGCGUGGCUACUACCGCAUACUCUUGCAUCGGCAGAUAUCGGAUUAGCUAGUUGGGGGGGUAAAGGCUCACCAAAGAAAAGAUCCGGAGCUUGUUUGAGAGGACGAACAACCACACUGGGACUUAGACACGGCACAGACUCCCACGGUAGGCAGCAGUGGGGAAUUGUGGACAAUGGGGGAAACCCUGAUCCAGCCAUCCCGCGUGGAGGAGAAGGCCUUCGGGUUGUAAAGUACUUUUGGCAGAGAAGCGGUAUCUGCAGAAUAAGCACCGGCUAACUACGUGCCAGCAGCCGCGGUAAUUC